ACACUGUGUUUCAUAGAAAAGAUGAAGUGGAGACAGCAGGGAGCGGAGAUCCAGAUCUCACAGUUCUUUUGAGGUCAAAGUAGCCCAAGGACCUCUGAGAAGGGCCCAACUUUGAAAGGUUCACAACACCUCUCAAUGAUGCCAUGUGGGGGAACAGUCUUUUUUUUAUUAUUUAUUAUGUAUACAUUAUUCUGUCUGUGUGUAUGUCUGAAGGCCAGAAGAGGGCACCAGACCCUAUUACAGAUGGUUGUGAGCAACCAUGUGGUUGCUGGGAAUUGAACUCAGGACAUUUGGAAGAGCAGGCAAUGCUCUGAACCUCUGAGCCAUCUCUCCAGCGCCAUGGGGGACUUUAGAGGCAGUACCUACAUAUGAACCAUAGCAACUCUCAAAACCAUGACUUAUGCCUGGCACAAAAUCAAUGGCAAUUGUUGAAUAAGUAAUUAUGGAGUUGCUGAAGAGAUAAUGAUUUUUUUUAUUGUGACAUUGUCUCUUGGAACCAAGUUUUCCUACUUGACUAGGAAAUUGUUUUGCUUUUUCUUUUGUUUUAAAAUAAUGUGCUAUAAACUAGGGACCAGAAUCCAGAAUGUGCACAGAUGUUAUGACUAAUUCGGGAGCUUCAAAGACCUCAAAUGUGAGGAAGGUGCCCGGGUCAACCAUGCAGGGCUCCUGUGGUUAUUUCCCUAGUACUAGAAUGUGUAGUUGGAGAGAGAUACUUAGAAGUUGGCCCUAUUUUUACAUUGCUUCCAUGGCCUGUGACAGUGUCUCAUCCCUGGAGGGACUGCAGGAAUUAGUGUCACCACUAAGGACUUGAAAGAUGCAGGGGUGAUGGUUCCCACCAUAUCCCUGUCACUGAACAGUGGAUACUUGAACAAAGUGACCAGGGUGGCAGCAAUAGAACAUGUGCCUGGGGCUUGAUAACAUGAACUUCUACUCACCAAGGCUGAGUGCCAGAUCUGCCAAAGCAGAGAAUAACACUGACCCGAUAUGGCAUCAUUUGGGGUGACCAGCCAGCUACCGGGUGGAGGGGUGACUACAUUGGAGUGCUUACUCCAUGGAAAGGAGGAUGUUUUGUCCUUACCAGUGUAGAUACUGAUGUUGGUUAUAGAUUUACCUUUCUUCCAUAUACCGCUUCUGCCAAAAUCACCAUCCGUGUACUUACAGAAUGCCUUAUUCUCACCCAUGGAAUUCCACACAGGAACAUACGUCCCAGCCAGAGAAGUGUGAUAGUGGGGCCACUGUCCUGAAGCAGCUGCCUUGACAGAAAGAUGGAAUGGCCUUUAGAAGACACAACUACAAAGUCAAUUAGGUGGCAGUAGCCUGAAGGGCUGGGGUAGAGUUCUCCACAGGGGUAUAUGCUUUGACUCAUCGUCCAGUAUGUGGAAUAUGUUCUCCUCUAGCUGGAAUUCAUGGGUGCGGGAAUCAAAGGGUAGAAAAAAGAAUGGUUCCAACUACUGUUGCCCCUAUUGGCUCACUAGGAACCUUUUUCUUCAGUUCCCAUGACCUGAAGUUCUUCUGGCCUAGAAGUUUUGGUUCCAGGAGAGGCAGCACUUCUGCCAGGAGACAACAACAAACAAUCCAUUAGACUGAAACUCAAGGCUUCCCCCUGAUCACUUUGGGCUUCUGAUGCCCUUGAGCCAAAGGCAUGACAGUGUUAGAAAGAGUGAUUGAUGAAGAUUACCGUGGAAAAUUGGAUUGAUUCUCCACUAUGGAGCUGUUUCUGGCAAGUCCCUUCUUUCACUGGCAUCAGAGCCUGCAUUUUCCAGGAUUCUGGUGUAUACUGAAGACCAGCUGAGGCAUCCAGCUUCAUGGACUGAACAAAUUCCUAUGGUUUUUCUAAUGAAGGACAGCAAGGAGGAGUAUGGGCUUCAGUGGGUGGAAAGGUAAGAUAAUAAACAUAAAUUAACAGUAUAUACAUAAUAAACAGUAGACCGCCAACAACGCCAAGAAGAAUCUUCAUUUUCAUGUCUAACAUCUUUCACACCUGGAAGAGAAGAUCGGGCAGAGGAGUUGUCUUCACUCCCAAAUUCAGCAGCCACUUGGCCAUUGCUGCCCUAUGUCCCAUCCCCCAGUGAAGAAGAAAGGUCCCAAACAUGGAUCUUCAUGUGUGUAAGUAGAAGGAACUCUGGCCAGGGAGGUCCACACUGACCUCAGGUGGGUAAGAGAGUUUAUUUGUGGUUGAAAAGGGAUUUGAUCCAGGCAUUAGUGGCCCAAGACUUUAAUCCCAGCAUAAGGGAGGCAGAAACUGGUGGAUCUCUGAGUUUAAGGCCAGCCUGCACUACAGAGCUAGUUUCCUGGACAGGCUUCAAAGCUACACAGGGAAACCCUUUCUCGAAAAACAAAAAACAGUCAAAGAAAAUAUCAAAAACAACAAAAAGAGACUUGAUAGUAAAAUCCAGAUACCAGGAAAGGAGGAUGACAGUAGAAAGUGAUUAGUGUUCAGAGGCAGUGAAGGACCCUGAGCGAAUGAAAAGUCUGCACUGGAGCUUCCCACACCUUCCCAACUGUGCUUCCUGAGUCAACUUCCUCCAGCAAGUACACUGGGGAGAGCUGUUUCAUGGACUGAGGGAAUGACACUUCAAAAUGUUACUGCCCUACACCGCUGAGAAAAAAUUAUGUUAAAAGCAGGAUUUUUGAGGGUUGGGAGACCCCCACAAUUAAACAAAGUAGGUUAUGCUAUCUCAGGGUUAAAAAGAUUCUGAAGGUUUCCAGCCAACCCCUUGCUGAGGCUAAAACAGGCUUUCUCAGACCAUGGACCAGCUUUCUCAGAAGUUUCAUGUGCUUCAUUCCAUCUUCUAGCAGGCCAUGUGUCUCCCUGCUAAACACUUAACCCUCCCACCAAGUCCCUCUUUCCUGGACUUAGUCUACUAUCAGGAACUGGGGAGCAGCACGCCCAGAGACUACAGAAAACAAUAUGGCUACAAAGCAUACUUACCAAAGUUAAGAUGCCUAGCACUGAAUUAACGACAAUUACUUAAAGCACGCGCGUGCACGUGUGUGCACACACGUGUGCGCACACACCUCCAAAUAGGAGGAAAGGGUUUCUGAUAUAGGCUGCUUCAGAAACCGGCAGUUUCUCAAACCUGUGAUUUGAGAAGAGGAUCUAAACAACUCUCUUCGAGCAGUUCAGCGAUAGACCAAUGUACUCCACCGAGGGAGGGAUAAGGUCUGCCAGGGAUGCUAGAGAUUACCACCAGCUCCAAGCCAACCUCUGUGACAUCAGCUUCAAGCCCCCUUCAUCACAAUGCUGAAUUCUGUCCCACCUCUAGGCAUAUUUUAGCUUCAAGAACUAGAGACUAUUUUAUAUCAUUUAAAGUCUAACAGUUGAGAGUCUGCCAAUCAGAACCUGGUCAACUGUUUCAAUUAUUUAAACACAAUCAUGGAUUGAGGUUUUAAACACCCUCGACAUCAUAAGCUACAUGUGUUUGGCUGUGUUCACUUGUACAGUGAAGUGAGGUGAAGCUGUUCACUAGGAUUCAAGCGCACACUCAGCGACACUGGCAGGGUCUCACACCUCAUUCUUGAAUAGCUGCAAAACAAGAAAGUUAAAGAGAAUCCCUAUUUUAGUCAGGUUAAUUGUGUGAUUUUUUUCUUGUCAGUUUCUUUUCAGGCUCCAUCUUUUUAUAGUUUAAAAUGUAGGAUAAUCUAAGAGUAAGUUCCAUCCCUCCUACUGAGAUUACUCUUGUUUGAGGUUUUGUUCAG